rnacentral:miRNA from 1 species
AGACUAUAGAGAUUUUUGCUAU